rnacentral:rRNA from 1 species
UGGUGGAUUGAUUUGUCUGGUUGAUUCCGACAACGAACGAGACCUUCUCUUGUUUAUUUUACAGAACUGCAUGACAAGUUUCUGUUCUAUUAACGGGACUUUGUUCGUUUUUAGUACAAUGAAGCGAAGGCAAUAACA